AUGAAGUGCUGACGGGUGGAGCGACACGGAGGAGCCUCAGAAACACCCACCAUGCUGCUGCCCGGAAGAGGCAGGCACGGAAGGCCACGCGCUCUAUGACCUCAUCCAUGGGAAACGCACAGAGGCGAGGCCUGCCCGGGGCUGGGAGGAGGGGGCACAGGAGCGCCGGCUGUGGGGAUGGUGUUUCUCCCGCCGGGGGUGGCUGGCUCACCCUGGCACUGCACCGCAGUGGGGGUGGACCGGAUGCCGCUGAACUGCCUGGACUUUCAAGAGGUAAAUUCCGAGGAGAUUCUAGAAGCCAGACCUCGGAGUGGGGGAGGUGCUAGGCCUCCCUCCCACCUGGAUAACCUGACCCGCUCUGCUCUGAGGCCUGACCGUCCCUGGCCGCCAAGUGUCUGCUGACUGAGAGCUCCAGCUCCGGAGAGGUGCCCAGUACCUGGUGAGCAGAGGGACCUGAAGGAGCAGGUGCCUCUUCCUCAGACAUCUGCAGUCACUUCACAGUGAAUGAGGCUCCAGCCGGGUGCCCUGAGAAGUGGCCAACACCCUACCCAAGAGGAGACCGCACAGCCACGGCCAACGUGGAGCUCUAACUCAGGGCUCCAGCCUCCAGCCCAGUCCUUUUCCUUGAGUAGGGACGACCCCCACAGCGGCCUCUCUGCAUUGCUUAGGUGGGGAGCACAUGUGGUGAAGAUGGGCAGCCUGCAGGUGCCUGCUACACGUGGGGGCCACGGCCGACGGAAAGCUCAGUCAUGAGUGAAAACAGAGGAAAUGUUUCUGAAAAUAUAACAAGUCAGUGGGAAAUCA
rnacentral:lncRNA from 1 species